rnacentral:rRNA from 1 species
UCAAGUGAAGAAGCGCAUACGGUGGAUGCCUUGGCAGUCAGAGGCGAUGAAAGACGUGGUAGCCUGCGAAAAGCUUCGGGGAGUCGGCAAACAGACUUUGAUCCGGAGAUCUCUGAAUGGGGGAACCCACCUAGGAUAACCUAGGUAUCUUGUACUGAAUCCAUAGGUGCAAGAGGCGAACCAGGGGAACUGAAACAUCUAAGUACCCUGAGGAAAAGAAAUCAACCGAGAUUCCCUUAGUAGUGGCGAGCGAACGGGGAUUAGCCCUUAAGCUUCAUUGAUUUUAGCGGAACGCUCUGGAAAGUGCGGCCAUAGUGGGUGAUAGCCCCGUACGCGAAAGGAUCUUUGAAGUGAAAUCGAGUAGGACGGAGCACGAGAAACUUUGUCUGAACAUGGGGGGACCAUCCUCCAAGGCUAAAUACUACUGACUGACCGAUAGUGAACCAGUACCGUGAGGGAAAGGCGAAAAGAACCCCGGAGAGGGGAGUGAAAUAGAACCUGAAACCGUAUGCGUACAAGCAGUGGGAGCCUACUUGUUAGGUGACUGCGUACCUUUUGUAUAAUGGGUCAGCGACUUAUAUUCAGUGGCAAGCUUAACCGUAUAGGGUAGGCGUAGCGAAAGCGAGUCUUAAUAGGGCGUUUAGUCGCUGGGUAUAGACCCGAAACCGGGCGAUCUAUCCAUGAGCAGGUUGAAGGUUAGGUAACACUGACUGGAGGACCGAACCCACUCCCGUUGAAAAGGUAGGGGAUGACUUGUGGAUCGGAGUGAAAGGCUAAUCAAGCUCGGAGAUAGCUGGUUCUCCUCGAAAGCUAUUUAGGUAGCGCCUCAUGUAUCACUCUGGGGGGUAGAGCACUGUUUCGGCUAGGGGGUCAUCCCGACUUACCAAACCGAUGCAAACUCCGAAUACCCAGAAGUGCCGAGCAUGGGAGACACACGGCGGGUGCUAACGUCCGUCGUGAAAAGGGAAACAACCCAGACCGCCAGCUAAGGUCCCAAAGUUGUGGUUAAGUGGUAAACGAUGUGGGAAGGCUUAGACAGCUAGGAGGUUGGCUUAGAAGCAGCCACCCUUUAAAGAAAGCGUAAUAGCUCACUAGUCGAGUCGGCCUGCGCGGAAGAUGUAACGGGGCUCAAACCACACACCGAAGCUGCGGGUGUCACGCAAGUGACGCGGUAGAGGAGCGUUCUGUAAGCCUGUGAAGGUGAGUUGAGAAGCUUGCUGGAGGUAUCAGAAGUGCGAAUGCUGACAUGAGUAACGACAAUGGGUGUGAAAAACACCCACGCCGAAAGACCAAGGGUUCCUGCGCAACGUUAAUCGACGCAGGGUUAGUCGGUUCCUAAGGCGAGGCUGAAAAGCGUAGUCGAUGGGAAACAGGUUAAUAUUCCUGUACUUCUGGUUACUGCGAUGGAGGGACGGAGAAGGCUAGGCCAGCUUGGCGUUGGUUGUCCAAGUUUAAGGUGGUAGGCUGAAAUCUUAGGUAAAUCCGGGGUUUCAAGGCCGAGAGCUGAUGACGAGUCGUCUUUUAGAUGACGAAGUGGUUGAUGCCAUGCUUCCAAGAAAAGCUUCUAAGCUUCAGGUAACCAGGAACCGUACCCCAAACCGACACAGGUGGUCGGGUAGAGAAUACCAAGGCGCUUGAGAGAACUCGGGUGAAGGAACUAGGCAAAAUGGCACCGUAACUUCGGGAGAAGGUGCGCCGGCUAGGGUGAAGGAUUUACUCCGUAAGCCCUGGCUGGUCGAAGAUACCAGGCCGCUGCGACUGUUUAUUAAAAACACAGCACUCUGCAAACACGAAAGUGGACGUAUAGGGUGUGACGCCUGCCCGGUGCCGGAAGGUUAAUUGAUGGGGUUAGCGCAAGCGAAGCUCUUGAUCGAAGCCCCGGUAAACGGCGGCCGUAACUAUAACGGUCCUAAGGUAGCGAAAUUCCUUGUCGGGUAAGUUCCGACCUGCACGAAUGGCGUAACGAUGGCGGCGCUGUCUCCACCCGAGACUCAGUGAAAUUGAAAUCGCUGUGAAGAUGCAGUGUAUCCGCGGCUAGACGGAAAGACCCCGUGAACCUUUACUGUAGCUUUGCACUGGACUUUGAGCCUGCUUGUGUAGGAUAGGUGGGAGGCUUUGAAGCGUGGACGCCAGUUCGCGUGGAGCCAUCCUUGAAAUACCACCCUGGCAUGCUUGAGGUUCUAACUCUGGUCCGU